AGAACGCGAACCACCACAGUAAAUAGUAAAAGAAAUGUUAUUUGGGUCUAAUGUUGUUUUGUUGAGAUUUGGUCGGUGUCUUACUGCUUCUACUGUGGGUCGCUUCAGUCGUGUCUCGCCUAGUGUGUUGUGUGGAUGUGCCACGGACCACUGUGUUACAUUCAGUCGUACAGUUAACCAAUCCACAGCGAUGAGUACCCCGAAGAAAAUAUGUAUCGUUGGAUCGGGAAAUUGGGGCUCGGCCAUCGCCAAGAUCAUCGGCAACAACGUCACCAAGUUCGACCAGUUCGACAAUGAGGUGCGAAUGUACGUCUACGAGGAGAUGAUCGACGGGAAGAAGCUGACAGAGAUCAUCAACACGACCCACGAGAACGUGAAGUACCUCCCAGGGAAGAAGCUGCCAGAGAAUGUGGUUGCAAUCCCCGAUGUCCUACAAGCAGCGCAGGACGCAGACGUCCUAGUGUUCGUCAUUCCACAUCAGUUCAUCAAGACAAUAUGCGCACCUCUCGUGGGGAAACUCAAGCCCACGGCUGUCGGGAUUUCUCUUAUCAAGGGUUUCGACAUAGCGGAAGGCGGUGGCAUCGCGCUUAUCUCGCAUAUCAUUCACAAAGUCGUAAAUAUUCCCAUGUCUGUCCUCAUGGGGGCCAAUCUAGCGGGAGAAGUCGCAGACGAAAAAUUCUGUGAGACCACGAUAGGUUGCCGAGACAUAAAUGUUGGCCGAAUGUAUCGAGAUCUCAUCCAGACAGAUUAUUUUAGAGUUGUUGUAGUUGAUGACGUAGAAGCUGUUGAAGUAUGUGGUGCUCUCAAGAAUAUCGUUGCAACAGGUGCUGGUUUCAUUGAUGGCCUUGGCUUUGGUGAUAACACAAAAGCUGCAGUCAUAAGAUUAGGUCUUAUGGAGAUGAUUAAGUUCUGUGAGGUAUUCUAUGCUGGCUCAAAACUAGGUACAUUCUUUGAAAGUUGUGGUGUUGCAGAUCUAAUCACAACAUGUUAUGGAGGGAGGAAUAGGAGAGUUGCUGAAGCCUUUGUUAAAACAGGAAAGUCUAUUGAAGAACUGGAGAAGGAGAUGUUAAAUGGCCAAAAACUUCAAGGACCUCAGACUGCAGCUGAAGUAAAUUAUAUGCUCAAGAAUAAGGAUAUGGAAGACAGGUUCCCACUUUUCACAUCCAUACACCGUGUCUGCCUGGGUGAAAUUUCCUCCACUCCUGGAAUGAUAGACUGUAUUCGAAACCAUCCUGAACAUAUAGAUGUGGCGGGAUCAGCGAAAGCAAAUGACGGAGUUGUUGUUGAUGCUCUUCUUCUUCCUCAAAUGGAGUGACGUCACAAUACAGCCGAUAGUUUUUUGUCAGGAGCACGUAAAGCCUGUUUGAGAAGACGGAUGUUAUUUGCUUUUCUGUUUGUAAGUACAGGUGUUCCUUUGACAAAAAACAUACGGCAGUGUGAAACAAACGGUGAAGCUCUUGAUGUCUGAAGAACACUUAUGAUUAUCUACCUGAUUGCAGUGAAUUGAACUGUUUUAUUUUUAUGCAGAUUCUACACAAUCUGUGAUAUGGUUUGGUUGGUACUGAACAGUUGCAAUUCAUUGUUGAAAGCUCACUUUCCUCUGUAUAUAAUAUUUUGGUGUAUUUUCAAUGCCAGUUGAAUUGACUGAUGCUAUUUUAUUAGACAAAGUUGUAUGAUUCCAUAUGUGAAUGAAACUUAGGUAGGCCUUUAUAAAAGUAACAUUAAGGAAUAUUUUAUUGUUGAAAUUUUUAAAAAAUUUUGAGAUUUAAUAUGGAUAUGAUUUUUACUGUAUAUGUUUUAUGUCAUUUUACCUGUAAACUAGCUUCAUUUUAUAAGUCACUGUAUGACAGAGUGCAAGUGUGUGUAUGGUACACUACUGUACUGUAUUAUUCACAGAGCUAACAUAUGCCAUGUAGCAAUAAGGAAAGUAGUUCAGCUGUAAUGAAACAAUGAUAUUUAAAAGAUAUUUUAAAUUUUGCAAUUCAUUAAAGUUUUAACCUAUUUUCUUGGGGGGAAGCUUUCCUCUUAGUU